CGGGUGCACUGAUCCAGCCGGGCCUCUCCCUCUGUGGAACCCCAUGGCCUUCACUGGCUGUGGUGGGGAAACAGGACUUUUACUUUGAAAAAAUUAGAGUGCUCCAGGCAGGCCUAUGCUCGAAUACAUUAGCAUGGAAUAAUAGAAUAGGACGUGUGGUUCUAUUUUGUUGGUUUCUAGGACCGCCGUAAUGAUUAAUAGGGACAGUCGGGGGCAUCAGUAUUCAAUUGUCAGAGGUGAAAUUCUUGGAUCUAUUGAAGACUAACUACUGCGAAAGCAUUUGCCAAGGAUGUUUUCAUUGAUAAGGAACGAAAGUUAGGGGAUCGAAGACGAUCAGAUACCGUCGUAGUCUUAACUAUAAACUAUGCCGACUAGGGAUCGGACGAUGUUAUUCUUUGACGCGUUCGGCACCUUUCGAGAAAUCAAAGUGCUUGGGCUCCAGGGGGAGUAUGGUCGCAAGGCUGAAACUUAAAGAAAUUGACGGAAGGGCACCACCAGGGGUGGAGCCUGCGGCUUAAUUUGACUCAACACGGGGAAACUCACCAGGUCCAGACACAGUGAGGAUUGACAGAUUGAGAGCUCUUUCUUGAUUCUGUGGGUGGUGGUGCAUGGCCGUUCUUAGUUGGUGGAGUGAUUUGUCUGCUUAAUUGCGAUAACGAACGAGACCUUAACCUGCUAAAUAGCCCGUACUGCUUUGGCGGUUCGCCGGCUUCUUAGAGGGACUAUCGG
rnacentral:rRNA from 1 species